ensembl:snoRNA
AUCCUUUAGUAGUUCAUAAGCAUGAUGAUUGGCUUUUUAUGCUCAUGAAUAAAAUAUGCCUCCCUCAAGCCUUUUUAUGACAUUGGCACAUUACCCGUCUGAUG